rnacentral:tRNA from 2 species
AAGACAUUAGUAAAUUUGAAAAUUACAUCACUUUGUCAAGGUGGAAUAGUAGGUUAAAAUCCUGCAUGUCUUA